UGAGGUGGGAUCCCGGCCCCUCGGGGUCGGGCGCACCACCGGCCCGUCUCGCCCGCACCGUCGGGGAGGUGGAGCGUGAGCGCGUGCGAUAGGACCCGAAAGAUGGUGAACUAUGCCUGGGCAGGGC
rnacentral:rRNA from 1 species